rnacentral:rRNA from 1 species
GAUGAACGCUGGCGGCGUGCCUAAUACAUGCAAGUCGAGCGAACAGACGAGGAGCUUGCUCCUCUGACGUUAGCGGCGGACGGGUGAGUAACACGUGGAUAACCUACCUAUAAGACUGGGAUCACUUCGGGAAACCGGAGCUUAUACCGGAUAAUAUAUUGAACCGCAUGGUUCAAUAGUGAAAGACGGUUUUGCUGUCACUUAUAGAUGGAUCCGCGCCGCAUUAGCUAGUUGGUAAGGUAACGGCUUACCAAGGCAACGAUGCGUAGCCGACCUGAGAGGGUGAUAGGCGACACUGGAACUGAGACACGGUCCAGACUCCUACGGGAGGCAGCAGUAGGGAAUCUUCCGCAGUGGGCGAAAGCCUGACGGAGCAACGCCGCGUGAGUGAUGAAGGUCUUCGGAUCGUAAAACUCUGUUAUUAGGGAAGAACAAAUGUGUAAGUAACUAUGCACGUCUUGACGGUACCUAAUCAGAAAGCCACGGCUAACUACGUG